rnacentral:rRNA from 1 species
AGCGAACGCUGGCGGCAGGCCUAACACAUGCAAGUCGAACGAACCUUUCGGGGUUAGUGGCGGACGGGUGAGUAACCCGUGGGAACGUGACCUUAGGUUCGGAAUAACUCAGGGAAACUUGUGCUAUUACCGAAUGUGCGCUUCGGGGGAAAGAUAUAUCGCCUUUCGUGCGGCCCGCGUGUGAUUAGCUUGUUGGUUGAGGUAAUGGCUCACCAAGGCGACGAUCAGUAGCUGGUCUGAGAAGAGGUUCAGACACCUACGGACUGUGACACGGCUCAAACUCCUGCGAUGGGCAGAAGUGUGGAAUCUUGCGCCAGGGUCGAAAGCCAGACGCAGCCAUGCCGAGUGAAUGAUGAAUGUCGUAGGAUUGUAAAAUUCUUUCACCGGGGAGGAUAAUGACGGUACCCGGAGAAGAAGCCCCCGCUAACUUCG